rnacentral:rRNA from 1 species
GAUGAACACUAGGUGUAGCGGACUGAUUCACGUCUGCUGUGCCGUAGCUAACGCAUUAAGUGUUCCGCCUGGGGAGUACGGCCGCAAGGCUAAAACUCAAAGGAAUUGACGGGGCCCCGCACAAGCGGCGGAGCAUGCGGCUUAAUUCGAUGCAACCCGAAGAACCUUACCUGGGUUUGACAUCAUGGGUCUAGCUGUGGAAACACAGUGUGCGUAAGCGCCCAUGACAGGUGGUGCAUGGCUGUCGUCAGCUCGUGUCGUGAGAUGUUGGGUUAAGUCCCGCAACGAGCGCAACCCUUGUCCUAUGUUGCCAGCACGUAAUGGUGGGGACUCAUGGGAGACUGCCGGGGACAACUCGGAGGAAGGCGAGGACGAUGUCAAGUCAUCAUGCCCCUUAUAUCCAGGGCUGCACGCAUGCUACAAUGGGCGAUACAAUGGGCUGCGAUCCCGCGAGGGUCAGCCAAUCCCGUAAAGUCGUCCUCAGUUCGGAUUGGAGUCUGCAACUCGACUCCAUGAAGCCGGAGUCGCUAGUAAUCGUGGAUCAGCAAAGCCACGGUGAAUACGUUCUCGGGGCUUGUACAUACCGCCCGUCACAUCACGGAAGUCGGUAACACCCGAAGUCAGUGGCCUAACCCCUUGGGGAAGGAGCUGCCGAAGGUGGGAUUGGUGACUGGGAUGAAGUCGUAACAAGGUAACCGU